rnacentral:rRNA from 1 species
CCUACGGGGGGCAGCAGUCGAGAAUCAUUCACAAUGGGGGAAACCCUGAUGGUGCGACGCCGCGUGGGGGAAUGAAGGUCUUCGGAUUGUAAACCCCUGUCAUGUGGGAGCAAAUUAAAAAGAUAGUACCACAAGAGGAAGAGACGGCUAACUCUGUGCCAGCAGCCGCGGUAAUACAGAGGUCUCAAGCGUUGUUCGGAAUCACUGGGCGUAAGGCGUGCGUAGGCUGUUUCGUAAGUCGUGUGUGAAAGGCGCGGGCUCAACCCGCGGACGGCACAUGAUACUGCGAGACUAGAGUAAUGGAGGGGGAACCGGAAUUCUCGGUGUAGCAGUGAAAUGCGUAGAUAGCGAGAGGAACACUCGUGGCGAAGGCGGGUUCCUGGACAUUAACUGACGCUGAGGCACGAAGGCCAGGGGAGCGAAAGGGAUUAGAUACCCUUGUAGUC